rnacentral:tRNA from 1 species
GGCAAGUUACUCAAGUGGUUAAGAGAACAAUCCGCAAAAUUGUUAUUCGCCCGUUCGAUUCGGGCACUUGCCUCCA